rnacentral:rRNA from 1 species
AAGAUUAAUACGCAUAAGAUUGUAGUAUCGCAUGAUAUAGCAAUUAAAGGAGCAAUUCGCUAUAAGAUGGACCCGCGUCGCAUUAGCUAGUUGGUGAGGUAAUGGCUCACCAAGGCGACGAUGCGUAGCCGACCUGAGAGGGUGAUCGGCCACAUUGGGACUGAGACACGGCCCAGACUCCUACGGGAGGCAGCAUG